rnacentral:rRNA from 1 species
AUUGAACGCUGGCGGGAUGCCUUACACAUGCAAGUCGAACGGCAGCACGGACUUCGGUCUGGUGGCGAGUGGCGAACGGGUGAGUAAUGUAUCGGAACGUGCCCAGUAGCGGGGGAUAACUACGCGAAAGCGUAGCUAAUACCGCAUACGCCCUGAGGGGGAAAGCGGGGGAUCGUAAGACCUCGCACUAUUGGAGCGGCCGAUAUCGGAUUAGCUAGUUGGUGGGGUAACGGCUCACCAAGGCGACGAUCCGUAGCUGGUUUGAGAGGACGACCAGCCACACUGGGACUGAGACACGGCCCAGGCUCCUACGGGAGGCAGCAGUGGGGAAUUUUGGACAAUGGGGGCAACCCUGAUCCAGCCAUCCCGCGUGUGCGAUGAAGGCCUUCGGGUUGUAAAGCACUUUUGGCAGGAAAGAAACGGCGCCGGCUAAUACCUGGCGUAACUGACGGUACCUGCAGAAUAAGCACCGGCUAACUACGUGCCAGCCGCCGCCGUAACAC